rnacentral:lncRNA from 1 species
AUGAACUGGCCUCGAUCGGCAGGAGCAGCCAGUCCUGGCAGUGCAGCCUUCAUGUUCUCUGGUCGUUUGGUGCAGCCCAGUGACGUGGGAGGCUGGGGAGGCCUCGAGGUUACCUCCCUGGAGGAGAUCAGAGAAUGGGCUGGGCUUGCAGGUUCCGGCGAGAGGACGGUGCUGGAGGUGCUGAAGGGACAGCGCCCGUGUGGAAUCCGCUGCCACCCUGGCCGCCUGGGUGAGGACCAACUGUCUCCCCCGCUGGAGCUGGGCGCCACAACCUUCCAAGGUGUGGCAAAGCUGCUGAAGCCAACGCCAUUUGUAGACGGGAGAACCACGAGCUGCAGGGUGCAAAGCUCCACCUGCAUCCAGAGCUGGCCCCUCCAGCCUGGCAUCCCCACAGGGGCCACACUCUCAGCCACCCCCAGGAGGCUGUGAAGCCAGCUGAUGGCUCCCCAAGACUUCAGGAGGGUGUUCCCCUUUUUUUCCUGAAAAAUAAGAUGAACAGGUUUGUCUCUCCCAAUGUCCUGGAACACCAGAGCACCUUAAUCCUUGCUCCCAUCUCAGCUCUGGUGCAUCUGCUACAACGGGAACUGGGGAUCCCUUUUCCUUCAUCCUCUAUGGAUCAGCCCUAACCUUGGGUCCCACGUGGCUCUGACAUCAAACCUGAGACGACUGCUUCCCCAGGAGGGGCUGCGCACAGCCCGGGCACUGCCGAGGGACACCGGAUAGUCUGAGGCUUCCCCCAACAGGAUGAGGGGCCCCAGCCCUGCCGGGUUUACAUUUUGAGCUACGGCUGCUCCCUCGGGUCUUCUGGUGAGUGGGAAAGACCAGCGGCGCCAGCCAGCGUGUGAGGGGAGAUGCCGCGGUGCCCUCUUCCUUCUGUGCACUGACGUCCUCUCCCUCCCCGAACACACCGGGCUGGUGCCUCCUCCCUUAAAAACGGAGAGAAACCACAGCUGCCUGGGGCAAGCCCACUUCAUGCUGGUUAUCACAGCCCAUGUGUGGGCACAGAGGCAGGGAGGCGGGGGUCCGGAGCGUGCCCCCGAAUGUGCACUAGCUUGUGUAAGUUGCUGUCUAUCCCCAACAUCCUGGAUAAUGUACAGGGUAGCAUUCUGCCUGCACCGACCCUUCUGUUUACAGCCGAAACACAAAACAACAAACACAGGCCCCGUGGCCACUAGCUCUGGAAACCAAAGGGCAAACACAACCCACGGGCUGACCCUGCGCCAGGGCUAGGGCUGUUUUAUGAGCAGGUCCCCUGUGAGGACAGCACCAGCGAUUCAGCAGAGGCCGCCUCUAGGUAGAAUCCAUGGUGCCAGGCAAACGUGCGAAUAGGCUGGAUGUAGUCAGAGAUGCACUCAAAGAUCACACCCCUCCUGGGUGUGCAGAGGAGGGCCCGGUGGCGGGGCACCUCGGGGGGUGGGCAGCACUGAGCCUCAGGGGUCCCUUGGUCUCCCAGUAGCAGCUCCAGAGGGACCCCUCCCAGGACGCAUGGCCCCCAGCAGUGGGGAGGCCACCUCUGCCCACCUGCCCCCAAGGAAACACUGUCCCAUUUGUGUCCAGGAGGCACAGAUCUGCCUCCUUUGUCCUGAGGGGUGGCACUGGGCUUCCCGCUGGCCUCUCUGCUGCCCUGGGGCCACCCUCCAAUCCCUGCCCCUGCCACAGGCCCCUUCUGGAGUCUGCAGAGUGAAGUCUAGGCCCCGUGGGGGGUUCAAGGCCCUCUAGGAGUGACUCUCCCAUCCCAACUCAGAUGGCCCUUUCUCCUCUUCUUGCCUGCGGGCCACUGGGGCCACCCCCUUUCCCCUGGGCUGUUUUCCUUGCAGGGCACCUCCAGCCUCCACAGACCCUCCCUGCACACACCCUGGGGUCUAGGGGGUCCUACUGCCUGGCAACCCUGACACCAAGAGCAUGAGGUCACCAUGGGCCGAGCCCCAACAGAGUCUUGGGGAGGGCCCGUACCCCCACCCCUUCCCGGAGGUGUCCACUUCCAGGGCCCAGCUGAGAGGACUCCAGUCCUGCUCAGGUGGCUCUGCACUGCUCUGGGACCCCAGGGAGCGACGGGGCCACCAGGCAGGUCCGCUUGGUUAGUACCGCCUGACUCAAAGGUGACUGCAGGGUCAGUGUGCACAUGGUCCGGGGGAACGGGCAGGCUCAGCCCAGAGGUCUGGUCCUGCGGGCCUUGGCCCCUUCCGCCUCCGCCUCCCCUCGCCUCCCGCUCCCCUCCUGUCUCCCCUCUUACCCUCCCCUCCCAUUUUCCCCAGCCCUCCCCCUCCUCUCCCC